CAUUGGGUUCUUUAGGCUUCAGUUCUUCUGUACUCGAUUAUAUGAUUUACAUUAGUAAAGCUUGGGAUGGCAGUUUCAGGAGAUGAAAAAACAAUUUGGAAAUGAUAUUGUGUUAGCUUUGCUGAAUUGUUAAAGUAUAUGCUUAUAGUUAUCGAAUGUGCUUCUGUGUUUUUCUUUAAAUGUUUUGCUUCAGGUACAUGUCAAUGUUGCUGGAACAGACCAACCAAAAUGGUGGGAAAGAAGUGUUCCGAAGUACUUUGCGUCAAGCUGGAGAUAUAGAUAAGUUGUUAUAGAAUUCUACGGAAGGCACUAUCUCUGGAUUUUGAGCAAUGGAAGAACUCUAUGCAGCAGUGAUUCUGUUUGGAAGGCCUUGGUUUUUUAUGCCAAAAAUUGUAAAUGCUUCUUUAAUGUUGAUCAAGACAAGGAUUUGGCAAGGCCAUAGUAGACGUAAAGAAGUGUUGGACCAAUUUGAUGAUUUGCUCAAUGCCGACAACAUAAUUUUCAAAAAUGCUAGAUGCAAGGUGCUUUUAGUGAUAACUUUUUGAAGUUAUUCAAGACACUGAUAUCGGCCUGUUUGGAGAAGUCAGCACUCAGCAGUAAAUCUUCUACUAAAGCUUUCAUGUGGCUAGGGACCCAAGAAGCGCAGUGUAGAGAGAAGUUGCAUGUAGCUCUUCACUAAUCUUGAAGAAAUAUAAGGUUAAAUCUCAUUCUUUGCACAACAAGCUAUUGCAAAAGAUAUGAGAUACAUUCAAAUGUUAAAGGUCUGAGACAUAUUGCCUCUGGAGGA